AUUGAACGCUGGCGGCAGGCCUAACACAUGCAAGUCGAGCGGGGUUUUCGGACCUAGCAGCGGACGGGUGAGUAAUGCGUAGGAAGCUGCCCGAUAGAGGGGGAUACCAGUUGGGAAACGACUGUUAAUACCGCAUAAUGUCUACGGACCAAAGUGUGGGACCUUCGGGCCACGAUGCUAUCGGAUGCGCCUACGUGGGA
rnacentral:rRNA from 1 species